GGACUGGCUCCUUCGCUCUGAAGGAAUUCUGGGUCAUCUCCAGUCGAUCUGACCAAUGAGGAGGCAGCUGGCUGGGGGUGGGGGUGGAGCUUUCCCUCUGUUUCUGCAGGUUCCACACUCAUAACUGGCUGCAGACAGAGGGACGACCUGUUCCUUCCUCACCAGCUUCAGCUUCUCGUAGAAAGUCUCUGCAUCCUGCUUCUUCGCCGACAGCAGUAACUGACCGAGCUGCACACCCCAGGUGCUGGACUGACGGUCUGAAGGCACAAUGGUCCCAUUGUCCGAGCUUCCAGGCUGCCUCCACUCUGUAGGUAUUCAGCUCUGACUUCCACUGGUGCCUGCAAAUGUACAUAUAUAGAUAAAUUCAUAAUGGACUCAGCAUAAAUUAAAAAGCAAUUUUAGUGAGAAUGAGACGGAGCACAAUGUGUGUGUG